rnacentral:rRNA from 1 species
AACGAACGCUGGCGGCAGGCUUAACACAUGCAAGUCGAACGGAUGUAGCAAUACAUUAGUGGCGCACGGGUGAGUAACGCGUGGGAACGUGCCCUUAGGUACGGAAUAACUUCGGGAAACUGAAGCUAAUACUGUAUAAUGUCUUUGGACCAAAGAUUUAUCGCCUAAGGAUCGGCCCGCGUUGGAUUAGGUAGUUGGUGAGGUAAUGGCUCACCAAGCCUACGAUCCAUAGCUGGUCUGAGAGGAUGAUCAGCCACACUGGGACUGAGACACGGCGCAGACUCCUACGGGAGGCAGCAGUGAGGAAUAUUGGACAAUGGAGGAAGCUCUGAUCCAGCCAUGCCGCGUGAGUGAAGAAGGCCUUCGGGUUGUAAAGCUCUUUUACCCCUGACGAUAAUGACGGUAAGGGGAGAAAAAGCCACGGCUAACUUCGUGCCAGCCGCCGCGGUAA